GAUAUUUUACUGCGAGUUCAUUGAGAAAUAUUUUCCUUAAUUAUGUUAUGGAAUAUAGGGUGGGCUAUGAAGGCACCAUGCUUCCUGCUUUCGCCCUUCAAGACAACAUGGCUACAUGGCAUGGGGCCAAUGUGCACCUUCCAGUCAACUGCUAGAGAAGACAACAGCAACACAGACAGGGAUGGCAGCAGGGCAGACUGGAGCUCCAGUAAGACGGUAGUAGAAUCAUCAACAAGGUCUCAUCAACAAGGAGGUGGCCACCCGAGCAUGCACAAGGCUAAGCCAGCAAGUGUGUGCCACUUCAAUUCCCGGGGCCGCUUCCUCUCAGCCCCAGCACAUUCUUCACCCUCUUCUCAGAGUGUCAAGCCUGCAAGUCUCAGCAACCAGCCAGGAGUUCUCUCUAGGUCCUCCUGAUCCCUGCUAACAACUGCCCUGCCAGAAGUGUUGUGACCCUACACCCCAUGUUCUUCAUAGAGGAACGUAUGUGUUAAGAGAUAAGUGUGAAGGUCAUCGCUGAACCAGAUGUACAAGGGAGGAACCGGAGACAGAUGCAAGGGUGCCAGGAGGCUGCAACCCGCCCCUAUUGAAAUGUCAGAGGAGGGCAGAUUUACAGCUCUAAAGAUGAGACAGGCACCUAUCAAUGGGGACAAGAUAGCAGUGAUCAAAACAGCAUGGGAUAACUCCCUGAGAAAUUUGAUGAAAAAACAAGAUAAAGAAUGAGAAGGACAAUUUAAGAAAACAAGAACUUGUCAAACAACAAUUGAUUACAUCAUGAUGAUGCAAAACUCAUUGGGCCCAAUGAAGGAAAAUCACUAUAUAAGCAGCGUGCCUUGCCAUGAAACUUUGGGUUCAUCCUGCCAAGACUACCCCCGAGCAUCAUGUCGCGACUGACAGAACUUGGCUCCUACCUACCCGUGAUCAACCUAACUGGCCACUAGAUUGAUCCGGACUCUGGACUGGUAACUAUAACAUU